GCUUGUCUCAAGACUAAGCCAUGCAUGUCUAAGUAUAAGCGAUCUUAUACGGUGAAACUGCGAAUGGCUCAUUAAAUCAGUUAUAGUUUAUUUGAUGGUCUCUCACCACUUGGAUAACCGUGGUAAUUCUAGAGCUAAUACAUGCGUCGAGUCCCGACUAUCGCGGAAGGGAUGUAUUUAUUAGAUUGAAGACCAAUGCGGGGCCUCGGUCCCGGUCUGUUGGUGAUUCAUAGUAACUGUUCGGAGCGCAGGGCCUCUCGUGCCGGCGCCGGAUCAUUCAAGUUUCUGCCCUAUCAACUGUCGAUGGUAAGGUAUCGGCUUACCAUGGUUGCAACGGGUGACGGAGAAUUAGGGUUCGAUUCCGGAGAGGGAGCCUGAGAAACGGCUACCACAUCCAAGGAAGGCAGCAGGCGCGCAAAUUACCCAAUCCCGACACGGGGAGGUAGUGACAAUAAAUAACAAUACAGGGCUUUCGUAAGUCUUGUAAUUGGAAUGAGAACAAUUUAAAUCCCUUAACGAGGAACAAUUGGAGGGCAAGUCUGGUGCCAGCAGCCGCGGUAAUUCCAGCUCCAAUAGCGUAUAUUAAAGUUGUUGCAGUUAAAAAGCUCGUAGUUGGAUUUCGGCGGCGCCGCGUCGGUCCGCCUGGCGGCGUGUCACUGUCGCGGCGCGGCUUUCUCUCGAGGGCCGCGCGUGCUCUUGAGUGAGCGUGCGCGGGACUCGGGACGUUUACUUUGAAAAAAUUAGAGUGUUCAAAGCAGGCGGUUGGGCUU
rnacentral:rRNA from 1 species